UUUAUAAACAAACUAGACAAGAUGGCUGAGUACACGGAGCGCACCGCAAAUUCCUUCACCCGAGCCGCGAAGGAAAUUAGCAACUUUAACACCGGCUGCUUCCAAUAAUUCCGGAGGUGUUCGGAAAUUGAAUAGAGGUAAGCUGAGCCGGCUGCUUCCAAUAAUUCCGGAUUAAGGACGUGUACGGAAAUUGAAUAGAGCCGGCUGCUUCCAAUAAUUCCGGAGGUGUUCGGGAAUAGAGUGGCAACCACUUACGCCAGGGAGGCAAUUGAACACCUAGACCUGGACUCAUCAACUCAAGGGCCAGGAUCCACGGCUGUGCUUCUUUUCGAAGGAAGGCAUGACACCACCAAAGCAACCAAGGAAGUCAUCAAUCACCACCAACUGACGAGUUUCGUUUGUGGUUCGACACAUGGACGGAGCAUUUGUGUUUUGCUAAAUUUUGCAAAUUAUUGGGGAAUUUCCCUAAACUUUCACGCGGCCACCAGUUUUCACUCUUCCACAGGCCUUAAGGGUAACCCACAUUAGAUCUGCUU